ACCUGACACAGGAGGAGGGAGACUGGCUAGUGUUAGGUUGAAUCAGCAGCAGCACAGCAGUUUACUUUAAGAAGAUGCACCCACCAUAGAUGCCAGGAUGGCAGAAAAUAUGUCUGAUAGCCAAAACACAGCUUUGCGAGACAAAUUUGUUUCUGUGGUUGGAUCAGUAUUUGCAAGUGGCGAUGAAGCAAAUAUUUUAACACUCUUGACUUCAUUAACAAAUGUAUGUCGACGUGAUGAGUGGCUGCUGGUUGUGCCUACCUCUACUGGCACCACUAGUAAUGAUGACCAGAUCGUUACUGAUACUUCAGACAGACAUAAAGCAUCAGAAUUCACUUGCUGGCUGCUGGCAGAACUAGUAACAGUGAAUGGAUCAGCAGUGGUGUGUGAGGCCAACAUUAACCUUCAAGUUACCAUCAUGCGUCUACUAGCUACUCGAAAUCCCCAGCUAUUUUCUUCUGUCAUCAAAGAUUAUGUAGAUAUUGGCUUAGAAGGAAAAGAAGUUCUCUUUGAUGGAGGAACAGUUUCAUGUCAGUGCUUCUCAUCUGUAGUGAAUAGGAACAAUGCUCAACCAGUACCUAAGACUAUUGUAUUUACUGAUGAUUCACAGCUUGAACAUAUUCUCAUCAACAUCAUUAUGGUGAUAGGAGACUUAGGAGACUACUUGUGUCACUGGGUUGGACCUCUUCAUGAUCAAAUAUGGCUCCUUGUUACUACUUGUUUAGAGGGAGGAGACAUCAACCUCAAGGCUGCCUCUCUCUCCACCAUCUCAUGCCUUUUGGACAUAUGUGGGUUACCCAAGGCCAUUGAAAGGCAAGAUUAUUUGAUUCAGUGUAUUGGAGCAACAGUCUUGUUAAUUACCGAUGAAUCUUAUGUAGUGGAAGAGGUUAGUGUUCGUGUAAGAAAGGAAACCAGAACAGCUUGCCAAGUUGAAGGGAAUGAUUUUGAAGAUUGUCUGGCUCGUGUCAUACUCAAUCUGCAGCAAUACAUCUCUCAUCUGAUCCAUCUCUUCAAAGAAGAGUUUCUUUUAAUGCUCUCAAAGUGUCUCAACAAACCAAAUGUGUUGGAAAAGAUGUCAGGGUUGUUGAGGAAAGCUGUUCUCCAGUGUUUUACCAUGUUAGUGGACAUGCUGGGCACAUCUCCUCACCUAAAGAAAGCUACCACUGCUCUUCACACUUGUGUCACUCACAGUCUUCUAGUACCUGAGGUUUCGAACACCAUACUGAGGAAGUUGUUACUAGAAGAACUACUUAAGGAGUUACCAACAAAUAUUUUGGACAACCAACAUCAGGAAUUAUCUGAAACUCAGGCACGGAAGCGAAGAUUUUCAGAAAUAGAAUCACCAAGACCCUCUGUGAGUGUCAUGAACCUAAGCAAGUGGUGGAAGAUGACCUUACAGAAGUUGACUACCACAUUUGUAGAAUGGUCUGAAACUACUUCUCUGCUGCUUGGUCAAGUUGAAGCUGCUUGUGAAAUUAUCUCAUGUGCAGGAUGGAUUGCUGCCAAAACUGAACAGUCAGAGGUUUGCCUCCGGUUCUUCCCUGAUUCCUGGCUUCAAGUAGCUACAGACUCCAUAACCUCUGUUAUGAUGAAUACAGAAGAUACCAGUCAGGUGAUUGGAAUGUUGGAGCUUAUAUGGAACCUAGCGUGGGCAGCAGGUAUUACUGAGGUUAACAGCCAAAAAAUACAGCUGUGCCAUUCAUGGUUAGCCUUAGCAACUUUGCCAUGGAUGGCUUCUGAAGUCAGCUUGAUGGACCUGAAACCUAUCAACAUCAAACAGUUUCCUACUUGGUCAUCAAAGCUGAAGUGGAUUAAUGAUUAUAAAGUGAAAUCCAAGAGUUUAGCCACUGUUGCCAUCAUGUGUGAAGGUAUAGCUCCAAGAUGGCGGUGUCAUGUUAUCCGUGCUGCCAUCAGUGAGCGAGACCCUCCAGUUAUGUUAGAGAUGGCACGCUGGUUUCCUGUGAUGGUUCAUCAGCUGGGUGGUGCAGGUGGUCAACAACUGGUAGGAGAAGUUAUCGGCUCAGUACUUCACUCCCCAGAUAUCAAAACAGUCCUGGCUGGAGCAGAAUCUCUUCAACAACUGCUGUGCGCCCUUCUUAGCCUUACAACUAUUAAAUUUUAUCGACAAGAAAAGGAGGACAAGAAACCCUAUUCAGGUAUAUUGGAGUGUAGAGUUUGCCAUAACUCCAGCUCCAUCAAUAAGUUGAACACUCAGCGUGUUGACCCCACAUUAGUGUCCAGAUUCUUGGAGCUGUUAAAUCAUGCAGAAGCAGAUAUUGUUAUUGCACUGAUAGAAGCCCUCCCAGCAGUAGUCUCCCAUACAACAGUUAACAGUCAGAUGAUGAACCAGUACCUGUUACUUCUCACUCACCAGAACAAGACUGUAGUCACUGCCUUCUGUAAACAACUUCCAACUCUUGUUUGCUGCCAAGGCCAGAAUCCAUCAAUUCAGGACCCAAAGAAUGCAAUGAUGUCAAAGGAAGGAGAAGCUCUUCUUUCAUUUUUUAAUGACUUAAUGAAGAAGAAUAGUACCAGUGUGACAACAUCCAGUAAACCACUGCUGGCCAUUUUGGAGGCUUCACACCAUCUAGUGAAGUAUCCACUUGGAGGGUUAGCAGGGGGGAUGUUAGUGUUGUUGCUUCGGUGUCUUGUCCAGACAGACAGGAUAGUAACUGCUCAGGCUCAUCUGGAAAUCCAUUCCUUAGCUAAAUCUUUAAGGCUCACUCUCAAGGACCUCUACAUAAGACAUAGACAGUCUCUAGCACAGGUGUUGUCAGAGGUUAUUAACCCAGGAGAAGUUGGUAUAACGCUGAGCCAUGUUGCAGAGGUGUUUAGGUGGCCAAGCUCAACUUCCAACAGUAAGAGGAGUCAAAUGAACAGUAAACUGGGGUCAUUCAUUAGCAGCCAGAUUCAUCACUUGCUGCCUGUCUUAGCAGUUCGGGCAUCACAGGAGUCCAGGCCUGGAUUUCUCCAAGAGCUAGCAGCAUGUCUUGGACUUCGUCUUCGUGACAUUCUUAUUGAUCAUUUCCAGCACAUCUUGGCACACUUGGUAUUCCAACACUCAGAGAAAGAGCAAGAAGCAGUGUUGAACUUUAUUGCUACAACAACUGAUAUUCAAAUUUAUAAUAUCAGGCAGUGUUCUGUACAGAAUCAGGUCAAUGAAUUAGUCCUUGGACUUCAUGAUCACCGAAGUGCUGUUCUACGAGAAUUUUCCCAUAUGAAGAUCAUAGGACAGAGCAGUGAUCAACAGUGCAUCAAAACCAAAGAGAAUGGUUCAAAUAAGGACAGUGCUGCAGUUCUUGGAUCAGACGACAUUGCUGAAUAUCUAUCACCACGUCUCCUUGGAAUAUUAGGAUUUCUUGAUAGCAAACUUGUGUCUUCAUCAACCAUGUACAAAGAGAAGCGAUCUGCCUUGUGGUCUUUGAGUGAUCUGUUGGUUGUAAUGGGAAGAAAAUACAUUUCUCCAGUUUCUCGGAAGGUUUUAGCAUCCUUGAAAACAGCUCUGAAGCUGAGAGAUGAAGACUUUUAUGACAUUGGCUGCCAUGCUUGGACAAAUUUCUUAUAUAACUUGGAUGAGUGCACACUGGAGGGGCUACUAGAAGAAGUAGUUGUGGUUGUGACGCCUCUUGUGAGGGUACGACCCAAGGAGAUGGCGCCAGUCCUGAACCACAUCUUGUUGGAGAUGCCUUCAAUAAAACCACUUCUUGGGUACUUACCUCUUCUUCCCGAUGAUGUAGCUCUCUCCCAAGUUAAUCAAGCCAUCGUGGAGCGUCAGUUGAGAGUUAAAUGUGGCAACACACAAGAAGUUAUAGAGGUACUCUCAUCUUUACUUCGUGGCCUCAAUCAUGAGAGUCUUGAUGUGAGACUGAAUGCCCUGACUCGUCUCCGACAUACACUACAACACAACCAAGAUGCUGUCCAUCGUCUAACAAUAGACGCUGAUAAUGUGCAUCCAACUAUAUCAGAGUUAUUUAGUAUUCUUUUAGGUCAGUGCCGUGAGCUGGAGGAGGAAGUUCAGAUAGCAGUAGCAGAAUGUUUAGGUCUCUUGGGUGCAAUAGACCCCAGUCGUCUCUACACACAUGCCAACAUUAAAGAGGAACUAAAUGAGAUCCACCUCAACAUUGAAACAGAGUCUUUCAUUGUACAGCUGGUCACAGAGUUAGGACGAGCUUUUUUGGCUGCCACUAAUGCUAACACCCAGACUUGUGCAUCAUAUGCUAUGCAGGAAGUGACUCGUCUUUAUGGCAUCCGAGAAAAGGGAAGUGAAGGAGCAUCACCAGUAGGGUCAAGAGCCUGGGAACAGCUGGGGUACCACCUACAAGAAAUCAUUUACCCACUUUUGUCUUCCAAGUACAUCGUGGCAACAAGUGCUGGUAGAUCAUCUGUCCUCCCAUCUCCUAUUUAUGGGAGUUCUCAGGCACAGUCCUUCCACCAGUGGCUCACCAACUGGGCAUGUUUUCUUGUUGAUAUGCUCAAGGGAAAGACAGCCAGUCAGAUAUUCAAUGUAUGUAAGCCAAUUCUUCGUCGUGACACAACCACUGCCAUGUACCUUCUACCUUCUAUCCUUGUAUGUGUACUACGAGAAUCAGCUGACCACCACAAUCAAAUUCUAACGGAGGUUCUUGCAGUUAUGAGUCAAAUGCAAGAAAAACAGAAGAAGGAAGACACAGUUGCACUAUCACCAGAGUUCAAGCACUUAGCUGUUCAGACAGUAUUCUCAGCCUUGGACUACCUUAGUAAGUGGGCUCAGAAGCAAAGACAAAUGGAAAGUGUUGGGAAGAAGGGUCGAGGAGCCUUCACACCCUCUGCAGAACUACAACAGGUGACUGAUUUCCUUGAGAAGAUUCCUGGUAAUCUACUGGCGCAGACAUCAUUCAAGUGCCAAGCAUAUUCUCGUGCCCUUCUGCACAUCGAAGCUUAUCUGAAGGAUAACGCAAAUGAUCUGAAGGAACAUCUCCGCUUCCUUCAGUGUAUCUACGUGUCACUGGAUGAGCCCGAUGGUGUUGCUGGCGUGGCAGCCAUCAGACGGGAGGACACGUCUUUAGAUGAACAAGUUAUUGAGUAUGAAGCAACAGGUCGUUUACAAGAUGCCUUAGGAUGUUAUGAACGUUUGUGCGUCUCUCAAGGGUCAGAAGAGGUUUACAAGGGGCUGUUGGAAUGCUACUUAAGUUUGGAUCAGCCUCAUUCAGUCCUCAACAUAACCCAUGGGCUACUUGCCAACAGGCCUGAAUUGGAAGCCUCAUUGAAUAAGUACCGCGUUGAGGCCGCUUGGAGACUUGGCCAGUGGGAUCAACUUGAGAAAGUCCUUGAAACAAACCCCAGUCAAGCAUCUUGGGGCGUAGGCGUUGGGCAGAUCCUUCUUGCAGUUCGAGGACGAGACUCUGCAGCAUACCAGAAUAGUCUGCGUCGACUAAGAACUCAACAGAUCGCCUCACUUUCAGCAGCAAGUAUGGAGAAGUGGGCUUACCAGAGAGCCUAUCCACACAUUCUUAGACUUCACAUGUUGACGGAACUGGAAGAAAUGGUAUCAGGUUUACUACUGUUUAACCAAACAAAUGAGACCAAGAGCAAGUUAGAUCUUCACCAUCAACCCCUUAAUCUUAAUGAGCUGACUGAAAGAUGGGACAAACGACUAGGCUUGGUCCAAACAUCUCAUCGAUACCUAGAACCUAUUCUCAGUUUCCGAAGAACACUAUUGGAACUUGGCCGAGAGUGGGUGCAACAGAGCAACCCAGCUCAGAGUUCUGCACUGGCUGCACAGCUGGAGCGUACGUGGCUCCAUAGUGCUAAGGUGGCACGCAAGUCAGGAUACACUCAACAGGGAGAGUGGGCUCUUCUUGGGGCAGGAUUUGGUCGUGACGUAUUUGUUGAACGAGCAAAGUGGCACUGGGUGAAGGGAGAACAUCAUCAAGCUGUGACCACCCUUCAUCGUGGUAUUGAAAAGUUCUUCCCCUCUUCAGAGAGCUACAAAGGGGCUGUCGGUGAGGACACUGAGGAAAAACGACAGACUUGUGGACGUGCCAAACUACUCCUUGCAAGGUAUUCCGAGGAAUCAGCCACACUGGAGGUGAAUGCGGUGAAGCAGUAUUAUCGUGAUGCAUGUGAGAUGAACAAACAGUGGGAAGACGGACACUUCUACUUAGCCAUGUAUUAUGAUCGUAUACUUGCUUCAUUAGAUAUGAAGGAGAAACCAGUGGAUUGGAUUCAUCAUAUUGUUCUGAGUAUCGGGAAAUCUCUCCAGUAUGGUUGCCGCCACAUUUACCAGUCCAUGCCAAGAAUGUUGGGCCUGUGGCUUGAGUUUGGCACAAGAGUUAGUGAACUUGAGGCAAAGGAAGGAAAGGUGAAAGGUGGCCGAAAGAAUAUCAUCCUUGACAAUUACCGUGAAAAGCUGGCCAAUCUGAAUGCAAAUGUUGUUAUGCAAAAUAAUUGCCACCAUGCUGAGCAGUUUCCCACAACAAGCCAUGUGGCACAUGAUUGCUGUAUCAAAGUCUUCAUAUCACAUGCGAGUAAGAAGAUGUAUCGAGAUUUUUGAAGCAGCAAAGAGAAUGAACCCACAGCUAUCAAAAUUCAUCACAGAUGCAACUAAAUUAGCUGAUAAAUUUCUUGAACUUUCAAAUAAACCUGUGGAGAAGGGUGUGCUUCGAGUCAGCCUCAACACCUUGCUUCGUGCCUUUCCUCGGCUCCUGUCUGACACUUCUUUUUCAAAUAUUAUCCUACCCCUUCAGCAUCAAAUGUUAGUAACACUUCCCACAUCCUUUGAUGAUCUCCAC
rnacentral:misc_RNA from 1 species